rnacentral:rRNA from 1 species
UACGUAGGGCGCAAGCGUUGUCCGGAAUUAUUGGGCGUAAAGAGCUCGUAGGUGGCGUGUCGCGUCUGCCGUGAAAACUCACAACUCAAUUGUGGGCGUGCGGGCGAUACGGGCAGACUGGAGUACUGCAGGGGAGACUGGAAUUCCUGGUGUAGCGGUGGAAUGCGCAGAUAUCAGGAGGAACACGUGGUGGCGAAGGCGGGUCUCUGGGGCAGUAACUGACGCUGAGGAGCGAAAGCGUGGGGAGCGAACAGG